rnacentral:rRNA from 1 species
ACGGUAACAGGAAUCCGCUUGCUGAUUUGCUGACGAGUGGCGGACGGGUGAGUAAUGUCUGGGAAACUGCCUGAUGGAGGGGGAUAACUACUGGAAACGGUAGCUAAUACCACAUAACGUCGCAAGACCAAAGAGGGGGACCUUCGGGCCUCUUGCCAUCGGAUGUGCCCAGAUGGGAUUAGCUAGUAGGUGGGGUAACGGCUCACCUAGGCGACGAUCCCUAGCUGGUCUGAGAGGAUGACCAGCCACACUGGAACUGAGACACGGUCCAGACUCCUACGGGAGGCAGCAGUGGGGAAUAUUGCACAAUGGGCGCAAGCCUGAUGCAGCCAUGCCGCGUGUAUGAAGAAGGCCUUCGGGUUGUAAAGUACUUUCAGCGGGGAGGAAGGGAGUAAAGUUAAUACCUUUGCUCAUUGACGUUACCCGCAGAAGAAGCACCGGCUAACUCCGUGCCAGCAGCCGCGGUAAUACGGAGGGUGCAAGCGUUAAUCGGAAUUACUGGGCGUAAAGCGCACGCAGGCGGUUUGUUAAGUCAGAUGUGAAAUCCCCGGGCUCAACCUGGGAACUGCAUCUGAUACUGGCAAGCUUGAGUCUCGUAGAGGGGGGUAGAAUUCCAGGUGUAGCGGUGAAAUGCGUAGAGAUCUGGAGGAAUACCGGUGGCGAAGGC